rnacentral:misc_RNA from 1 species
UGCUCGAUCCUGUCUGUGUCUGUAUUCGGUCGCAGUGUUAACCGAAAUUUUCAACGGUAAAUCGCGUGUGCUCGUGAAAAAGUAACAUCCAGCGGUUGGCCUCAGGAUUCUGAAUGCGUUCCUGGUGUUGGACACAUCCGCCGGGUGUUCGAACUGUUCCGACGAUGGCGAAGAGUUUUGCUUUAAAACAACGAAUGUUUCAGGGAACAUUUCGCCUACGGGGUGAACUUCGCGCUCGAUUUGGACGAGGAAAGCCGCAACAGAAUCACUCGACAAGAUCGCCAAGAAGUUGGCUUUUCUACAAGGACGAUCGUGGAUGGCGUGUGGCCCAAUUUGUGCUGCCGGGGAGUACCAGUCCGGUCGCAAUCAUCAGACGAUAGAGGAACAUCAUUGCACAUGGGUCAAAUGAUCACCAAGGGAACAUUCCCAACACAACCGGCACUAACGAAACCAGCAAAUCAAUCCGGAGUCUCCAGUCGACAAAAAGGAGCCGGUGGUCAGUUUAAACGCACCAUGACAUCACCCAUCCGAGGAGAAACAAGAAUCGGUCGCGAUCGAGAUCGAAAGCGAAAGAAAGCGGCUUCGUUUUGGUGUUUGCAAAACUCUAGAGAAGACAUUAUCAAUUAACAAUUGAAAAAAA